ACAAUAAUAUCAUCAAAUAUACUUGGUAAAAUCAUAGGCUGACUGACCGUUUUCGCUCAGAAUCGUUUUUCUUUUACAAUGAUAUUAUAUCAUUGAAUUCAAAUUUAACACCAUCCAUUACAGUGACCCACUUGUAACCUACUGUACAGCAGAGCGACAUCCACUUAUCCACCUUUUUUUCAAUGAAUAUCAAUAAAGUUUUAUUAGUUGGGUCAAAAAGGCUCCUGAUAUAUUGUUACAAUAGCAGUUAAAAAAUAUUAAAAAUACAUUGGCACAAUUUUUUUAUAAUCAUUUAAAGUUCGAAUUUAGACGAAAUUUAUCAAAUUGAGAAUUUACAAAUUAUUUAGUAGUUAAACAUGUAUAAAAUGUUCAACUUUUAUAACAAAGGAUGAAAAAUGUGAUAUAAUGAUUUAAAUAGGGCUAAAAGAUAUUAAGUUAAUAUACUUGCUAUUACAAGUAGCCCCUUGUUGUGCUUUUGACUAUUAUGUGAAAACUUAUUUGUUUUUUAUUACUUACCUAGUUACAUAUUGCUUUUUUAAAUGAAUAAUGUUAUUAUUCAUAACCGUUCUAUAAUCAAGACUCAAGAGCUUUUUAACUCAUACUACCUAAAGUAUCUACUAAUUACCAUACUACUAUAUUGUUUAUAAUUAUAUACUAGCAUAAUUGUACAUCAUCAGCAUACUGCUUAUCUUUUGUAUGUGUAUAAUGCAUUUAUCAUGAAACUUACGAAAAUAAUCUAACUAUCUAGUUCAUACAAUAUAACCAUACAAAAUAUAAAGCAAUUAUCUGUAUACCUAUAUGUAUCUACCUUCAACAUAUAUUAUGUAAACCUGUUUUGUAAACAGAUAAUAACAUAAUGUGUUAAUUUAGGUCACUUUUCCAGCCAUAAAUGGCCAUGUCCACAAAAUUGCGGUCGUAGCUACAAAAACAAACAUUCAUUAGCCAGCCAUUUGAAAUACGAGUGUGGAGUACAGCCACAAUUUACUUGCAAGAACUGCACCCGUACUUUCAAACUCAAACAUCAUUUGAAGAGUCAUAUAAUGAGUUGCGAUAAUGUUCCGCCCGAGUUUAGUUGCCCGUUUUGUAAUAAGCUCUUCAGGCAAAAAGUGCAUCUGAAAACGCACAUGGGAUGCGUGCACAAAGUCAUCAACAUAUAACGUAAAACCUAUAACUAUACCAUGCCUACAUGAUAUCUGAUAGAUGUUGGUAGAAGUUCUGAGUUCAUAUAAUAUUGGUACUUUGUGAACGUUUGUUAUAAAUAUUAUAUAGAUAUAUUUUAUAAUUUAUUAUGUAAUAAACUAAUAAAUAUUUUAUAUUGCAUACUUAUAUUGUAAAUAUUGUAUACUAUUACUAUUUAUACCUAUAUUUCACCGUAUAAAAUACUGGAUAUAAAUACUAAUAGUAAAUACUAUAUGUGUAGGUUGUACUUGUAGUACAUUUUAAUAUAAUACCUAUAGAUACCUAGCUAUGUUUACCUGUAUUAUAUUAUGUUAGAAAUAUGAUUAUUUACUUCUGUGGCUCUGUACUUAUAUUUAUUAAUUAUUAUUACACCUAAGCUAUCCUACUGAAGUGCAGUAAGUUGUAUUGACUAACGAGGAAUGGUAGACUCCUACAACAGAUAAUGGCAACUCCUAUAUUAGAUAGUGUUAACUCCUAUACAAUCUUUUUUUUAUUAAGAAGAAAGUUUAUAAGAAAAUAUUAAAAUGUUUAUUAAAAUCCAAAAGUAUAAACACUAUAAACUGACAUAAAAAAAAAUUUAAAAUUUCUAUAAAUAGCUAAAAAUGAGUCAAAAUAUAUUGAAAACUUCAUGUAUUUAGGUACUACUAUCUAGUUAUAUUUUUUACAGUUACAACAAAAAACAAAAUCGAUUUUGUCCACUGGUUUUGCAUAAAAGUCUCCGUUUUUCUCUACGCAUUUGAAAACUAGGUGCUGAUAAUUUAUUACUUUUGACCCCCCAAAAUACCUACUAAAAUUACUUAAUUAAGAAAAUUGAAUAAUUUUUACUUCCCAAAAUUGUGUAUUAACUUUUGACUUCACUAAGUUAACCAAUAAUUUAAUUAAUGCUUGUGAAAGCGAACCAUUUUUAAGGGGUUGGAUCUAGGCAAUAUCACAUAACUGUGUGUGUAGUGUAGACUGAUCAUUAGUGUGCGUGAGUUCCCCGUACGCUUUAUAUUGUAAUUAAAGAUAAACUACGGCUAACAUUUUUGGAAAUCAGUAACAUACAUAGCAGUCGCUCAAAUAGGUUGGAGGCUUUGGCUUAGCCACCUCAAAAAAUAAUAAUAUAAUAUAUAUUAUAAUUUAAAAAAAAAAUUUGGGGGCCUGAGCCCCUCUUUCUAAACAUUUUUCCUUUAUGCGCCACUGCCCAAUGGUACAUAGGUACGCGCAGUCACAAGUCGCUCAAUUUUUCGAUCAAAAAAGUUUCAACAUAAAUGUCCUGAAAAGCGGAAGAAAAAUUCACCCAGUACCUACCACAAACCUGAUUUUAAUUUUGAAAACAUAUUUGAAUUCCUUAUUCUAUGUUCUAGGUUAUGUUGGAAAUGGAUUUUCGAUUUUUUUUGUAUUGUUUAAUUAGUGUAGUACCAAAUUAAUUUUCUUUUGUUUUCAAAAUUCACCUUUACUUUAGUGUUACUAAAAAAUAGAAUCGAAAAGAUUCCUAUAAAAAAAAAAUGUAUUGCACUAAUGUUUAAUUUCCAAGAAUGUUUGAUGUGGUUUUGUGGUCCCACAAUAUUAUAAUUGAUAAAAUUAUAAUACAAACAUUGUGAAGAAGGAUACACAUAAAAUAAAUUUUUGGUUUCUUUAAGCUAGCUAUAUUAUAUAUUUUGAUUUUUGAGUAUGCAGGGAGAAAAAAUGUGUAGGUUAAGUUAGGUUCAGUAUUUUAUUAUAGAGUGUUUUAUACCAAUACAUUUAUUUACCAAGUAUAAAUACCACUGUACACUGGUAUCCACAAUAUGAAAUAAAUACAUUAAAAGUACCUACACAUAAUUCGUCAAAAAUAGUAACAAUAUUGUGAUAUUUUCAUACUAAUAUAAGUGACAUAUUAAAUAUAUUAUACAAACAUUCUACAGUUUUUGUCUCUACUUGACCCCCCCCCCCCCCAAAAAAAAAAAAAAAAAUAUGUGGCCUGGUAAUGAUUGAAUGGACUGCAAACAUUUUGGCACCAACAAAAAAUAUAGUUGAAAUGACGCCCCUGACCUUAACUAUUAACUUAACUAAGCUAAAAAAAAUGCCCAUCUAUUAUUUGAAUAAAAAUUAUAUUUUUUCCACAAAAGCUUUCGGAGACUUCCAAAAUUGAAUCGUCUAGUAAAAAUGUCACUGUAAAAACGUAUUCGGUAUGACCAAUAUCAAUGAACUGAUAUAAAUUAAUGUAAAUGAACUAGUGCAGUAUUUUGUAUUGAAUUUAAUUACACUCGUCUCUCGUGUGCGCUCGGUGCUUUUUUCUGCACCGCCGAUAUUGUGAAUGCUCAUUACGAACUCUAUUUCUACAUUACUGUCCUCAAUCCCCAUACGGCCAUACACUUCACCACUGUAGCUGGCGGUAAAAUUCUUUUGUCUUGGCGGUGCGGUGGCGGUAAAUCGUGUCCGAACUCAUUUUUCCACCGCUGCAGUGUGUGGGGACCAUGAUUACGGCAUAUCUUUUAUCUAUGCAUUUCGGUAAUACGGUGUUAAAUCUUGUUUUCGUAUUCGAUUUUAUUAAAGACUGGUGCAGAACUUUACAAGUGCAACUAGUGCUUGGUGCACUUAUAAAUCGUCGAAUCGAAAACGAUGUAUUAUGACAUCGGUACCAACAUUGUAAUAUUGUAUAUUCAUAUUGUAUAGUUCUUACUUUGACGUCCGGUUCAAGGUGUAUUAAUAUAUUGAUAUAUAUAUAUAUAUAUAAUAUUAUAUAUAUAUAUUUAUUUGAUAUAUUGAAACAAAUACACCUUGGUCCGGUUAAAGUUAACCACGAUUAAAGAUAGUAUAAAUGGCCAAAUGUAAACUCCUACACGAUUGACAUUUUUACCUGAAACAAAAAUAGGGUAAUAUCCUACAUUCCAAAAUUUUAUUUGAAUACACGAUUUUGGAAUUGAACAGCCCUAAAAGCUAAAAAUGAUAUCUUGAAAAUAAUAAAUAUAAACAUAUAUUUUUAUAGAUAAAAUACAAACACUUGGUUAAUGAUUUAUUUUAAUAUGAUUAUUAUUUAAGUUUUUAUUUAUAUAGGUAGCUAAAUUGUUUUAGAUUCUGAGCGAAGCGAUGAAUGUAUUGAUUUUACAAUGAUGUGUAUUUUUUUUGUUUUUUUUCAUUUUUUUAUUUUAUUUUAAUUUUUGUGUCUGUCAUCAACUUUUAGGACAGUAAAAGUGCUUGGAUUUUCUUCAACAGUAACUUUUCUGAUAGGAAAGUGAAUCUAGUUGGUACUUUGGGGGGUCAAAAGUAAAAAUUUCCCAGUAGUUUUCAAAAGCGACGUGAAAAACAAAAGAAAAAUUAAGGAAAACGGGAAUUUUUACGCAAAAUCUGUUUUUGAGAAAAUUGAUUUUGGUUUUUGGUGUAACUCUAAAACAAAUGACCGUAGGGACAUGAAAUUUUGACUGAAUGUUUAUAUUAGCAUUUUCUAUACACCAUAAAAUUUUGAAAAUAUUUUGACUCUUUUUGAGCUGUUUACAGACAUUGUCAGUUUUCAAUUUUUUUAGUUUUUUUUUCUAUAAAUAUCAAUAAAAUUGUAUUUGUUGGCUUCUGAUAUAUCGUUCUAAUAGCAGUUGAAAAAUAUUAAAAAGACAUAGGAACAAUUUUUUUUUAUAAGCAUUUAAAGUUCAAAUUUUGACAACAUUUAUCAAAUUUAUAAUUUAUUAAUUAUUUUGUAGUUAAAAAUGUAUAAAAUGUUUAACUUUUAUGGCUAAGGAUUGAAAAUUUAAAACAAGGUUCCACGUAAAUAGGUUAUAUAUAAAUUACUUUAUUCACAAUAAUAUCAUCAAAUACACUUAUUUCAUUGGCUCCUAUCAUAGGCUGACUGACCGUUUUCGCUCAGAAUCGUUUUUCUUAUACAAUGAUAUUAUAUUAUUGAAUUCAAAUUUUACACCAUUCAUUAUUCACCCACCUGUAACCUACUGUACAGCAGAGCGACAUCCACUUAUCCGCCUUUUUUGUAUUAUAUGUAUUAAUGUAUUACAAGACAGAUAUUUUAUUUCUAAUAUCGAAAAUACAAAGACAUUUUUUUUUCUACUGAUUUAUUUUUUAACAUUAUUUUGAUUUUUUUACCUAUAUAACUAAGUUAUUUGGUUUUUAAUAUUUAAUAAUGUAUGAUAAUUAAUUGAUUAAACGAUUUAAACUGGAGGAAAUUAUUAAGUUUGAUAAUUUAUAUAAGAAUGCGGUACUUAUCCACCUUUUUAAAAAUUAAUUUGACUGUUUUAUAAAAACUUACUAUUAUUUUACUAGGUAUCGUUUGUAGGAGUUAACACUUAACACUAUGCUAUGUAGGAGAUUAGUGAUUACCCACAUUUGUAUAUAGUAGUUUACCAUUCCUCCUUAAUUCGGCGGAAUUCUGCCGGUAGGCGGAAAUAAAAUCUGUUAUUAGUCCGCAGUCGGUUAGCGUUAACCGACACUUUACCGAACAUUGAACGGCCCUUUUUUUGUGAAAUAAAUUAGUUGGGUAAAUUAUGUUUCAUCGAGAUUAUUCUGUAAGUUGGUCCGCAGCUAUAAUUCAAAUUUCAAUGUCCAAUGAUAAUAUUAUCAGUUAUCAUAUUAUCAAUUGUUUUUAUUUUGCCCGCGUGUUGUCAGUGCCUAUGGUCAGAUACUAGAUAGACGAUACUGUACACUGUACAGUGUAUACUAGUCAGUUAUAGUACCUACUUACUGUUUAGCAUUUUAUGCAGAUUUUCGAUCAAUUCCGUUUUAUUUCAUUAAUUUUCAGUUCAUAAUCGGUUUCGUAUAUUUAAUUAACCGCUGUGCUAAGCUUAAGUAUUAUAUUUUGAUUAUUCAUUGUAAUGUGUAACAUAGCUUAUUUAUCGUCAUACAUCAAAUGCAUUGGUUUUCUACUUAUUUUUUUCAAUUUACCUGCCCAUUUUACUGUUUGACUUCUUGCACAUUAAUUUAUAAAAUUAUAUUUAAUUUUCAAGUUAAAUGGCAUUGAGUCUGUGUGAUUACUAUUUAUUCGAAACUAUAAACUUCACUUAUCUGAUACAAAUGUUGAUAGCUUAACUAAUACAAACAUAAUAAUAUCUUAUAAUUUUUAUUUUUACAAUUCAGUUUUUUUCAUAAUUAAACAAAUUAAAUUAUUGUCAUUAACUAAAAAAAUAGAAAAAUAUUGUUGAUAGUCUUCAAACAUUUUUAUUUUAUUUUUUUUAAUGUUGUCUGGCUUAUAACAAAAGUGAUAACAGUGUAACAACCAGGAUAUGCCUAGAUGUUUUUGGAUUUGGAAUGGAAUAUGUAAAUUUAUUGGAUUACUCUAUUGCUGUGGGAAACUGCUAUGGCAUAAUUGGAUUUUAUAAUAACUGUCAAGUUUCAUCCCACAUCGAGCAAUAGUAAAGGAUCAAUGAUUGACUCCUUAUUCAAAGUGGAUGGCCAGUUUCCAUGUCCAAAAUGUGAAAAGUCAUAUGUGCAUUUAAGAAAUUUGCAUAGACAUUUGAAAAAUGAAUGUGGCAUCGAACCAUCUUAUCAAUGUCCUUGGUGUCCAAAAAAAUGUAGAUAUAACUUUACAUUGAAAUCUCAUAUUUUUGGUAAACAUUCAUCAACAUUGUCUAUAUGAUUGUUGAAAAUACUGACCAUAUAGGUACAUUUAUAUAUUAUUUAUAUAUUUAAACAAAUUUAGUUAGGUACUAAUAAAUCAUAAGCAAUACUGUUUUUCAAUAAAAUAGUUUUAUUAAUAUUAUUAGUUUUAAUUUUAGGGUGUCAUACAUAUUAAUUAUAUUUUAAUCCUUCAAAAUAUUGAAAAAUUAAGUUAUCAUGGUUUAGGAUUUAUCUUGUGACUGAUUUAUUUUAACCUUUUAUAGUUAUUAUUUUAUUUAUAUAUAAAUUGUAAUUUAUUUAAUAGCUAUACUGUUCUUCUUGUUAAAUGUAAUUUAAAUGUUUUAAAUGAGAGUACCUAAAAGGUAUGUGUAUUAUUUCAAAAAUGGUUCUGUUUGUAUUAUCAAUACUAAUGUACAUAAAUGCUAUUUGAUACCUAAAACACGAAAAAAAGUUUUAAAUCGUUAAUAUGUUCAAAACAAUAAUAAUAAUAAAAUUAAAUGAUUUAUAGAAGAUGUGUUAUAUCAUUAAAAAUAAUAGAUAGCUUUUUUGUUAUUAUAUACAAAAAAUGUUAAUAAUUAUAAAUUUCUGAUGUAAAUUGUCAAGCCCGAGUUUGACAGUUAAUAGAUAUUGGUAUUAGGUAUUAUUGCUACAUUACUUACUGACAAAAUUGAUUUUAUUUUUGUUUGUUAUUCAGAAAUAUAUGACUAGAGGCUUGACAUUUUCACCAAAUAUUUAAUAUAGGUAACAUUUUUUAGAAAUUAUAUAAUCUUAUGCUAUUUAUGCUUAACCUAUUUAUGUUGGUAGAAUUUUAUUUAUUCCUGUCCAAAUGAAAAUAAUGAAAAUUUAAAAAAAUUACCCAUUUAGUCAUAAGUUUUCUUAAAACAUUUUUUUUUUCAAGUGUUUGUUCAUAUUUUAAACAAAAUGGAUAUUUAAUUAAAAAAAUAAUAACUGGCUGUUUACUGAAUUUCAUUUUUGAAAUAUUUUGACUAAUUUUAAGCUAUUUAUGCCAUUCUGUGAUAGGUUGGUAUUGAUUUAUGAGUAGAGAAUUGAUUUCUAUGUAAUUAAACUACAAAAAUAUGUAGGUACAUAAAUGAGUAUGGAAGUAUAAACCUAGUGAAAUAUUUGUGAUAUAUUAAAUAUCUUAAUAUUCUAAUAAAAAUAUGCAUUUACAUAUAAAUAUGUUCCCAAGUUAUAAUAUAUACUAUAUUUUUUGAAGACAUUUUUUCAACUAACUGAAUAAAGAAAUUUAUAUUAUCAUAUAGAUUUUAUAUAAAUAUAACACAAAUUAUCCUUAGAAAUAUAUCCAACAUGUACUUAGCUCAACAUCUGAGUGAUCAGAUAUUAUAUUUUAUAUCUUUUUAUAGAGACCUACUCAAUUUUCUGUCAAACAUAACAAUUAAUUUGGUUAUUAUGUUAUUGACAUUUUAUUUUAUCAUUUACAGUCUACAAUAAAAAGUUGAAAUAUGAUUUUAACUUUGUUAUACGAUGAUAGUUUUUACUUCCUAUAACCUUUUGAGGAGCAUGGACUUAUAUAUACGUUUUUUCCGCGAAUGCCUUUUAAUUUCUUUGUUUAUGUUUCAUUACAGUAAAAUACCUUAUAUACAAUUUGUGCUGCCAUCUGUGAAGUUUAAUUUCAAUCAACCGAUUUAUUUUAAUUUAUCAAUGCAUGAAAAAUAGGACGUACAUAUACGUCUUCGCUUAUAAUUUUUUUUCAAUUUUUCAUUCCUAAGCUGCUCCCUAAAUUGCAUUUACGUAUACCAAAGGUGCUCCUCUAAAGGGGGGUUAAGCACAAAAUGUUUUUUUCAAAAAAAAAGUUUUUUGUUUUUUUUUUCAGACACCUAUGUUAUACCUUACACAAUUCUUAACUUUUCAGGUUUAUUUUUUUUUACAAUACCUUUAUUUUUUGUACUUACAAGUAUCAGGCUGGAUAAGGGUGUCAUAUUCCCCACACCCCCUUUGUUUAUUUGUGUCGUAUAAAAAAUUAAAAUAUGAUAAAGCAAUGAAAGUACAUUUACCGCAUCUGAGAAUAGUAAAAAUUUUCAUAUCACCUCCUCCCAUUCAUACAAAAAAGCUGAGCAUGCCACUGACAAGUAUUGUAUACAAGUCUCAAGUGGUAUAAAUUCCUCAGUUAUUUUGCAGAGUAAUUAAGUGUUAAAUGAGUUUUAAUUCUAUGGUUGUCAAAUAGGUAUGAAGUUUUUUCCCUAAUAUAUUGCAAUUUUUAAUAUUUUCAUCUUAAAAUUUGUCAAAAAUUGGUUUUCAUUCUAAUAUUAACUUUUUUCUAUUAUUAAUAUUUACACCAGUAGCUAAUUGUACGAAACAUAAUAUUUGGUACUUAAUUUUGUGUUAAUAUGUAAACUAAAGUAUUUUUAUGUUUAAAAGUUUCAUACUAUUGCAGAUCUAUGUGUUAGUUUCAGAAGUAACAGAAUACAAUUAUUAUAACUAUCUUAAAUACAAUAAAGUUUGUUAUUUUAUGUUAAUUACAAUUUUUGAACCGCUGAUAUUUUAACAUCCACUACCAUAUUUGGCCUAUAUGCUUUACUAUUAUUAAUUGCUUUAAUAAAUAUCAUCAAAAACAUCGCCUAAAGUUAUAUCUUUUGUACAAUUAUGAAAUAUAUCAAUAAAUAAUAUAUUAUGUAAUUUCUUAUUACCUAUUAAAUUAAUUUUUAUCAAGAAAUCAAAUUGUAUAUUCUUCAAACAUAAUUUUAUGAAAAUAUUUUAUAUUUACUACUAUUUUGAUUUUUAUGUUUCUUUUAAUUUAUCUUUUGUUAAUAAAGUCUGUGUUACAAAUCAUUUGUUGGACUCAAUAUAUAUUAGAAAAGGAUGUUAAACAUAUUCACCUUCAAUAUGUUGGUAGUUGUCAACCAACAAAUAACAAAAUAAUCAAUACUCUGCAGUGUGCGUACUAACUUCUAAUCUUUACUAAAUCUAAAGAUCUUUAUAAUCCAUUCAACCAUGUGCAUUGAAAAACCAUUUUUUUUUGUGGUCGGAGGGGGGAAGGUUUUAAAUUAACCAAAGAUAUAGGCAAUAAAUAUUUAAACAAAUUAUCUUAUAAUAUUUUGCAGAGAUAAACUCCCAAACCCAUUUCAUCUGUUUAUUUAUCCAUUGUGAUUACUUAAUAUUGAUAUUUUUCUAAUGGUUUAAAGCUUUUUAAACUAUAAUAAAUCAUAAAGAUAUGAAAAACCAAAAAGUAGAUUUGUAGUUUUAAUUAUAGCUUAUAGAACAAAACUACACAACACGUGUGAAUAUUUAUAAUUCAAAAGAAAAAAAAACUUAAUGUUAAACUAUGAUAUUAUGUUUGAAAUAAAAUGUAUUCAUAUAUUUUAAUUACUAUUUUUUUUUUACAGUUAAUUACUAUAGCGGUGGUAAAACAAUAAAAAAUAGUUCUGAUGAUAAUGUUACUAAAAUUAUUUGUCCACAGUGUGGUCGAACUUAUCGUCAUAAAACUACUAUGCUAACUCAUAUCAAAUACAAAUGCAACAAAAAACCAGUUUGUAAAUUUUGUGGAAAAUGCAUUUACUAUCCUUCAAACUUUAAAAGACAUUUAAUGCUAAAACAUGGUUAUAUGAUUGCCUAAAAUAUAUUGGUUUAAAUAAAUAAAGAACCUAACUAAUCUGAAUAAUUACAGAAGAAAUAUUAUAGUUGAAUAAAACUUUGUAACUAAUAUAUUUAUUUUUUUACUUGUUUACUAUACUGUAUUCACCUUAAAGGACCAUCCAAGGAAAAAAUGGAUAAAAGCUAAAUCGUUAGUAUUUGGUAUAAUUAAAAAUUGGGUACCGUUAAAAAUAUUAUCCAUCACUCCGUUUAAUCCUUAUCAUCAUUUUAAAAUGACGUGUGACGUCAUAGGUUCUAUUGGUCGGCCACCCGCCUAUUUCAAUACACGCAUUUCCUCGAUGCGCCUUUAUUCAUUGAUUUGUAUAUUAACUUAUAAUACUCAUAAUGAAAAGCGGUUUGCAUAUUACAAAACCUUAGAUAUAUUCCUACAACCUGAUACUAACAUCCUAUUGAAAUAAUAAAUAUUAAACUAUUAAAAAUAGAAAACAUUUAAUUUAUACGUCUGUUUGUUUAUUUCUAUUUUACAAUUAUUACACCAGCUCCGUCAUGUUAAAUAAUAUCUACCACUUUCCAAUGUUUUGACUUAUCUUAGUCUUGUCUUAGUUAUUAUUAUUUCAUAAUAAACUUGUAUUGUCCGUACACCAAUACCAUUUUUAUAAAUAUAUUUUUCGGUUCAUUAUCAUUUAUCAGACAUCAGUAGUUGAUUUACUUCGUAGUGUGACCCGUAUUCGACAGCAGAAAAUUAUUAUAUAGUUCGUUUUCCUUUUUAUAAUAAUUAUUGUUAAACUUAAAAUGUUGUGUUUGGUUUUCGGUCGUACGUGUUAUAGUCACAAAGAAACAAUUCAUUUUUAUAGGUUUCCAAAGCGCGAAAAAUCUCCACAAAGGUAUAAUGUAUGGGUUAAAUUUUGUAAACGUAUAAAUUUUAUACCAGGAAAAAACAAUAGAAUUUGUUCGUCUCAUAAUAUGAAGUAUGAACAAACGAAAAAAUGUAUAAAUUAUGGAUAAAAUAUAUGUGUGUAAAUAUAUAUUGGUGUCAGGUUAUAGGAAAAUAUCUAAGGUUUUGUAAUAUGAAAACCGCUAUUUAUUUUGAGUAUUAUAAGUUAAUAUAUAAAUAAAUGACUAACGAUCAUGACACGCGUCAUUUUAAAACGACGAUAAGAACCGAACGGAGCAAAGCAAAAACUAAUUUUACCAAAAUUCAUAAUUGUUUUCAUUCUACAAUAUUUCAUAAUAAUAUUUUUUUUUAAUUUUCCCUUGGAUAGUCCUUUAAGAAGAAAAUCUUAAGCGGCUACGUGUUUCUACUGAACGGCAGCUCUAAAUAAAACUCUUAACCUCUACGCACAGGUCAGCUGCAGGGUUUCCUUCUUAACAUGAAUAGAGUAAAGGUAUAAUAUUAAAAUAUUUCCAUAUUAUCACACGUAUUAACUAUUUUUAACAAUAAUAUAAGAAAUUAUUUUCGCGUAAUUACUGUAUCACUUUUAAUUGAUAAAAAUGAUAUGAAUUACAAGUUAUUAUAUAUAUUAUAUUAUGUCAUAAUUAAUAAAAAGUUAAAUGUAUUACAUUUUGAGAAUAAAUUAAAAAAUAUAUGUACAUAAGAAUUAUGAAUGUUGGUAUUUUAUUAUUUUAAGUUUUGCUAUGAAUUUAUUUGUGAUUCACCAAACAUUACUAUAUACUUGGUGAAUUACUUUGGUUUUUAUCCUAAAUAUGUUUUUCUAAGACUGGUCGAAGAUAUCAAAAAUAGGACUAGUCUCUGGUCGACAUUUAAAUGUGGAGUUUAUUAAAAAUGUUUAUUGUAAUAUACCAAUCCAUCUUAAACAAGUAUGUAAUUGUUGGAAUUCAGAAAAUUGUAAAGCUGUAAUCCUAAAAAUAAGAGUAAUAAAUCUCUUAGAAUUAAACAGAUGGUUUCAAUUAUUUACAUACCCAUUAGAUAUUUCAAAUAUAUCUGAAUAUCCCUUUAUACAUUUAAAAUGAGUAGCAAUCUACUGCUUUUAAUAUCCUGUAGCUUAAAAUUUUUCAUUAUAAUACAUUUCUUAAUUAUGUUGGCCUAAUAAUAAUACUUAUGUUAAGUGCUUAAUGUGUUUAAUUGUAUGCAUGUAAAUGGGUAUCACAUAUUGUUGUUUACCGUGUGGCCAUAAAUACAAAUAUGAGAGAGGAUUAAUUAGCCAUCAGAGGUAUGAAUGCGGUGUUAUGCCUAAAUUGUAUUGUAGACUGUAUCAAUAGUCUUUCAAACAAUCCACUAAUUAUAAGCUUCACAUGAUGAGAAUACAUUAUGAUUUUAAACUAUAACAUUAUCAAAUCACAAUAAUUUUCCAAUAUUUUAUUACUUUUGUAAAUAGUAACUUUUUUUUAUCUUUAUUGAAGGCUUACAAUAUAAUAUAGUCUUAGUUAAUGUAUUUAAAUUUUAAAAUAAUACAUUUAUAAAUUUAUUAUAAACACAAUACAAACUAAUUAUUUACUAUUCGUUUUUAAGAAGAAGUAAAUUCUUAUAAAAUGUAAAUGUAAAUGUAAAUGUUUUGUUUUUAAUAAGGAUAUACAGUAAAUUUAUUGUAUUUUUCUUUCUAUAAUUUAUAUAUAGUUUUAGUUUGCAUGUCGCGUACAAAUAUGAUUUUCUGUAUUUUUUUCCAUUUUUAUGAAGUUUUAUCUUUAAAUCAAUAACAAUUUAAUAUAGUGCAUGUACCUAUAGGGUAUGAUUUUUUUUUUGAUAAACCCCUUCCAUAAAAAAAAAAAAAAUUACAAUUAUAUGUUCAGUUUCUUAGCUGUGUUGGUCAAAUAAAUAGUAACAAUUAUUUAAAGCCGGUUUCAUACUUCACUGUGUCAUUUGAGUCGUGUGCCAAGUAUAUUCGACUCUUAGAUAACUUGUUACUAACAUUUUUUCACUUAAGUCUAAAAUACUGAACAUAACCUGACACUGUGUAUUGUGAACCAAGAUGAAGUGUAUAAUAUGUCUAAUUAUCUGAAUGUAUGAAUGUAUAUUUUAUAGGUAUGAAGUAUAGUUGCUUACGUUGUGAAAAUAAAUACAAAUACAAGAGAGAAUUAAUUCAGCAUCAGAGUAAUAAAUGUGGUAUUCCACCUAGAUUCUAUUGCAGCGAGUGUCAAAAGUCUUUCAAACAAUCUACUAAUUAUAAGCUUCACAUGAUGAAAAUGCAUUAUGAUUUUAAUAAUUAACAAUUUAAAAUUACAAUAAUUUACUAAUAUUACUGAUGAUAUUUAAUAUAAUAUAGAUUCAUAGUUUAUGUAUAAUAAAAUCAUUAUGUAUGUAUUAUAUUAGUGAAUUACUAACUUUUAAGUAUUAGUAAAAUCAUCUUUUAAUUAUUUAUUCAUAUUACAAAAUGCAAAUUUUUUUUUAUGAAGGUUAACAAUAUAUUUGUUGUAUUUUUCUUUCUAAAAUUUUUUUAAUUAUAUUGGUUGGCACUUUGCAUACAAAUAUGACUUGCUGUAUUUUUUUUCUAUUUUUAUUAAGUAUAACUAUACGUUUAUAACAAUUUAGUGUAGUGCAUGUGCGAGGUAAGUAUAAUUUAAUUUUUUUGUGCAACAUUCUUACUAUUUUGCGGAAUAGAUUAUGGCAAACCUCCCCACAAUUAAAAAAAUUAUUUUUUGAAUGUAAAAGCCGGUUUUUCACUUCAAUGUGUCAUAAUGUAGAGCUGUGAGUUGAAUAAAUUCAACAUUUAGAUAACUUGUUACAAACAUUUUCUUAUUUACUAUUAAAUGCGGAAAAUAACCUGAAUAGGUAUAGUGUGAUCCUAGUUGAAGUGUAUAAUGUCUAAUAUUAUGAAUGUAUGAAUGUUUAUGUUAUAGGUUGUUACAAUUGUUUACGAUGUGGACAUAAAUACAAAUACAAGAGAGGAUUAACUCACCAUCAAAAUUAUGAAUGUGGAGUUCCGCCUAAAUUUUAUUGUGGCAAGUGUCAAAGAGUAUAAUUGUGAAAAGUGCCAAAGGAAAUACAGAAAUGUUGGAAGUUUGAAAAAACAUAUAUUAUAUUACUGUGGUCAACAAUUUCCUUGUGAUAUAUGUACUGGUAUUUUCACUCGUAAAGCAACUCUACAACUUCAUAAAGCAGUAAAACAUGGAGUUUUAAUGGAAUAAAUUCUUUAUAUUAAAAUACAGUGGUUAUCGUUUUAGUAAUCAUUGGUUUUGGACAAAAUGGAUAACAUAAAGUCACUGAUAAUACUAAACAAAAAUUAAAGUAUGUGCAUAAUAACAGUAAUACAGCCUGUACUAUACUUUUCGAUAACAAUAUACUAUUGUUAACAUUAACCGUGAUUAUAAUAAGCGGCGCCCACUGUAUUUUAUAUUCAUGUGUUGAAUUAAAAUAUUAUAUCUAGGCAAAUUUUAAUCAAACUUAUUAGAAAAUAUUUACAAUUUUGUUAGUUAUAUUUUUAUAGUUGGUAAAUUAAACAGGCACUUUAGAACUUUUAGUUAUGUUUAAUUGUUCCUAAGUUAAUAGUUGUAUUUCAAUUAUUCCUUUAGUAAAGGUUUUGUAGUGUUAAAACUGUUUUAAAAUAUGAGUGUCAAAUCUAUUGGUUUAUAUUGUACUUAAUAAUUAUCUUUUUACUUUGUCUCUAUGGUUUUAUUAAAUGAAAAAUAAAUAAUCUUGUGAACUUUUUGUAUGACAUACUUUUUAUAUGACUGUUAUUUUUAUGUUUAAAAAAUUGACAAAAUUAAAAUUUAUGGCUUUAUAUUUAUUUGAAUAAUUUUUGUAUAUAAAUAUUAAACAAACAAAUGCUUUUAACUAAUUUUUUCUGUUUUUAUUAAUAGGUGAAAAUUUAAACCAUAAGACAAGUCUAAAGUCUUAUUUUAAAAAUGGCCGUUACCAUUGUCCUAAUCAGUGUGGCAAGCAUUAUAAAGGAAUUAAUGGAUUGAGUCAACAUUUAAACAAUGAAUGCGGUGUGAUACCCAAAUUUGUUUGUUCUAUAUGUAUGAAAAGUUAUCAGUAUAAAAAUAGGCUUAAACUUCACAUGGCCAGUGUACAUACUAUAUUACUUGACAGUUAAUAUGGAUAAAAGAACUUUUUUUAUGAUUACUCAGCUGGCUGAAUAUACAUAUUUUAUUUUUAUUUAUUGUUCUUACAAUUUUAUUCUUAGUUUAUCCCAAAUUAUUUGAAAUAAAUUCUUUAAUUCUUACCUAAUAAAUGUUUUAAUUACGAUAGUAUAAUACUACAAUGUACAUAAGUAUAAUCUAUUGAUUUUCUUCUACAGUUCAAAAACACUUAAAUCAUUCAUAUUGUCUAUUUAAUGAUUAGAACAAAAAUUAUAAAGACAUUAUAUACAUUUUUUUUUACUUUAUCUGCCUAGCUUAUAAUUUAUUGCAUUUGUGAUUAUAAUUGCACUUUUUUUAAGUAUUAAUUUAUAAAUUGGACAUACUAGGUAGUACUAUUUGUAUUAUUUUUUAAAUUGCAGGUAAUAUUAAGUAGGUAGUGUUUUAUAAUAUUGUUUAUCAUUUAAUGUUUGUAUUAAGAUAAACUUACAUUUGAUAAUGACGUAAUUGAAGUUUUUAAUUAUGUAGUUGCAUGUAUUGCAUAAAAAAUAAUUUUAUUAAAUUGUAUUAGUAUCGAACAUAAUAAUUAAUGUUACAGAUAUUAGUUCCCGCUUCCUAUGUCCAAAUUUAUGUGGUCGAAGUUACAAAUAUAAGCGUGGAGUAUACACUCAUGUGAAAUUUGAAUGUGGUGUGGAACCCAGUUUUUUAUGUUCAUUGUGUCCAAAGAAAUUUGCUAGGAAGUUCCAGCUAGAAAGUCAUUUGGUGUUGAAGCACAAAGUUGUUAAAAUUAGAUGUAAUUUUACAAAUUGAAUGGAGUGAUAGUUCACCAUAAAUAAAAACUGUUGUAUAUUUGUAUAAAAAAAGAAAACUAUCUCUUAAUAUUUUAUUAUAAAAUAAUUUGUUAGUGUCAAAUUAAAUUCCUAUACCUUUAAGCUAUACUCAUAUCCAUAUACAUGACAUACAAUAUUGUUAUAGUUUUUACUGAGUUUUUAUUGUAUAUAAUUAAUGUUUAUACCAAUGUUUUUUCUAUAUUUAUAUUGUAUUAUUAAAUUAAGUUAAUUAUAUUGUUAAUUUUGUUGGAUUUAAUUUGUAUUAUGUAUAAUUAUAAUUCAUUAAAUUAUUUUUAUCAAUUUUUUUUAAUCAUUUGAUCAAAGGUAUAGUUUUAACAUAAUUAUGAUUGUUCUGGGUCAUGGAUAAAUACUAUUUUAUUUAUCCAUGUUAGUGAUCAUGUGUGAAUAAACAUAUAGAAUUUCAAGUGUGCCAUAUAUUUUUCAAAUUAUACUUGUAUUUUGUAACAAAUUAUGAUAUGUUUAUAUUUUAUGAUUAUCCAUUGGUCAAGUUGUAAACAUAAGAAUAUAAGGGGGCUUAGAACUAUUAAAAGAUUAAUAUCACUUAGAUAUUUAUUUUAAGCUCCCAGAUCAAAUAGCUUUUGGUCUGUAGGCCAAAGGUAAAAAAUGAUAUAAAUAAUUUUGUAUUAAAUGUAAUUUAAUAUUUAUAGUAGAAACCGCACUCCUUUCCACCUAUAUUAAAGAGUUUUCACUUAUAUAUAUUAUGUAUAUAUUACAUAUAUACCGUAGAUAUAUAUUCCUUUUUUGAAGAAAUAUUGCUCACAUCUGAAAUGUUUAAAUAUUUAUCCAUAUUUAUUGAGUUAAUAUUAAGAGUUAACAGUUAGAUAUAUUUGUUUAUGAGACUUCUAAACAUAUAAAAAUCUACAUAAAAUAUUGAUAUAACAAAUAUAGAAUAAUUAUUUUGUA